GACGAACCGUCCUAACGUUAUUCGGAAUUACUGGGCUUAAAGGGUGCGUAGGCGGCCCUGUAAGUUGGGUGUGAAAUCCCUCGGCUCAACCGAGGAAUUGCGCCCAAUACUGCAGGGCUAGAGGAAGAUAGAGGUGAGCGGAACUUGUGGUGGAGCGGUGAAAUGCGUUGAUAUCACAAGGAACACCUGUGGCGAAAGCGGCUCACUGGGUCUUUUCUGACGCUGAGGCACGAAAGCUGGGGGAGCGAACGGG
rnacentral:rRNA from 1 species